CGCGUAGGUGGCUUUUCAAGCGCGCGGUGAAAGCCCGGGGCUCAACCCCGGGUCGGCCGUGCGGACUGGGAGGCUUGAGCACUGUAGGGGCGGGUGGAAUUCCGGGUGUAGCGGUGGAAUGCGUAGAGAUCCGGAAGAACACCGGUGGCGAAGGCGGCCCGCUGGGCAGGAAGGCUCGCAAGAGCCGGCUGACACUGAGGCGCGACAGCGUGGGGAGCAAACA
rnacentral:rRNA from 1 species